AACAAGGUUUCCGUAGGUGAACCUGCGGAAGGAUCAUUAACGAAUCAAACAAGUUCAUCUUGUUCUGAUCCUGUGCACCUUAUGUAGUCCUCUGAAGCCUUCACGGGCGGCGGUUGACUACGUCUACCUCACACCUUAAAGUAUGUUAACGAAUGUAAUCAUGGUCUUGACAGACCCUAAAAAGUUAAUACAACUUUCGACAACGGAUCUCUUGGCUCUCGCAUCGAUGAAGAACGCAGCGAAAUGCGAUAAGUAAUGUGAAUUGCAGAAUUCAGUGAAUCAUCGAAUCUUUGAACGCACCUUGCGCCCUUUGGUAUUCCGAGGGGCAUGCCUGUUUGAGUGUCAUUAAAUACCAUCAACCCUCUUUUGACUUCGGUCUCGAGAGUGGCUUGGAAGUGGAGGUCUUGCUGGAGCCUAACGGAGCCAGCUCCUCUUAAAUGCAUUAGCGGAUUUCCCUUGCGGGAUCGCGUCUCCGAUGUGAUAAUUUCUACGUCGUUGACCAUCUCGGGGCUGACCCAGUCAGUUUCAAUAGGAGUCUGCUUCUAACCGUCUCUUGACUGAGACUAGCGACUUGUGCGCUAACUUUUGACUUGACCUCAAAUCAGGUAGGACUACCCGCUGAACUUAAGCAUAUCAAUAAGCGGAGGAAAAGAAACUAACAAGGAUUCCCCUAGUAACUGCGAGUGAAGCGGGAAAAGCUCAAAUUUAAAAUCUGGCGGUCUCCGGCCGUCCGAGUUGUAAUUUAGAGAAGCGUUAU
rnacentral:rRNA from 1 species